UACGUAGGGUUCAAGCGCUAUCCGGAAUCACUGGGCGUAAAGCGUGCGUAGGCGGGUAUUUAAGUGCAAUGCGAAAUCCAACGGCUCAACCGUUCGGACUGUGUUGCAUACUGGAUACCUAGAGGACGGCAGAGGCAAGUGGAAUUACAGGUGUAGGGGUGAAAUCCGUAGAUAUCUGUAGGAACACCAAUGGCGAAGGCAGCUUGCUGGGCCGACCCUGACGCUAAGGCACGAAAGCGUGGGGAGCGAACAGG
rnacentral:rRNA from 1 species